CAAGACGUAGCUUUAACUAAAGCAUUCAGCUUACGCCUGAAAGAUAUCUGCUCACACCAGAUCGUCUUGA
rnacentral:tRNA from 1 species